AGAGUUUGAUCCUGGCUCAGGAUGAACGCUAGCGGCAGGCUUAACACAUGCAAGUCGAGGGGCAGCAUGUCCAGCAAUGGAUGAUGGCGACCGGCGGAAGGGUGCGUAACGCGUGAGCAACAUGCCCUAUACAGGGAGAUACACCAGGGAAACUUGGUCUAAUAUCCCAUAGCAUUCAUUGAAGGCAUCUUUAAUGAAUUAAAGCUUCGGUGGUAUAGGAUUGGCUCGCGUGACAUUAGCCAGAUGGUGAGGUAACGGCUCACCAUAGCAAUGAUGUCUAGGGGUUUUGAGAGGAAGGCCCCCCACACUGGGACUGAGACACGGCCCAGACUCCUACGGGAGGCAGCAGUGAGGAAUAUUGGACAAUGGAUGGAAAUCUGAUCCAGCCAUGCCGCGUGCAGGAAGACGGCCUUAUGGGUUGUAAACUGCUUUUAUACGGGAGCAAUAAGGGUUACGAGUAAUCCGAUGAGAGUACUGUAUGAAUAAGGAUCGGCUAACUCCGUGCCAGCAGCCGCGGUAAUACGGAGGAUCCGAACGUUAUCCGGAAUUAUUGGGUUUAAAGGGUGCGUAGGCGGCCAUUUAAGUCAGCGGUGAAAUUUUGCAGCUUAACUGUAACAGUGCCGUUGAUACUGUUUGGCUAGGAUUUGGUUGUAGUGUGCGGAAUGUGUGGUGUAGCGGUGAAAUGCUUAGAUAUCACACAGAACACCGAUUGCGAAGGCAGCACACUAAGUCAUUAUUGACGCUGAGGCACGAAAGUGUGGGGAUCAAACAGGAUUAGAUACCCUGGUAGUCCACACUGUAAACGAUGAUAACUCGCUGUCGGCGAUACACAGUCGGGGCCAAGCGAAAGC
rnacentral:rRNA from 1 species